rnacentral:lncRNA from 1 species
CGGCGUCUCAAAAGUUACGAUAAAAUGGUCAAAAUACUCUUAUAAUAGUUUACCAAAAAACUUCUAUUAAAUACACAUAUUCUUUGACUCAUAUAUAACAAACAUACCGUAUUGGUUGACCAUGGUAUUCUAAUAUAGCUUCAAAAACGUUUAACUUCAAAAUUAGCUUCAUCACAUUCCAUUCACAAAAAAUAAGUACUCUCUCGAUUAGGGGACCGAAACAUGCUAAAAAUGCUUGUUUACAAUAAAGUGUUGAUUUCAAAUAAAAAUAAGUUAACCAACCAACUUUGGUCUUAACA